rnacentral:rRNA from 1 species
AGCUCAAAGCCUUCGAUUUUGAGUAAAACCUGCCCAAUGAUAGUUUUAUUUAAUGGCCGCAGUACCCUGACUGUGCAAAGGUAGCAUAAUCAAUUGUCUUUUAAUUGGAGACUAGAAUGAAGGGAUUAAUCUAGGUCUACCUUUCUAAGGAUUAUUAACUUGAAUUUAUAUGUUAGGUGCAAAUCCCUAACCUUUGAUAAAAGACGAGAAGACCCUAAGAAUUUUUAUAAGUGGUAGUACUUACUACUUUCUUUUUGUUGGGGCAACAGGGAAUAACUUUCCUAUAGUUAUAACACAAAACAAUUCUACUUUUAAUGGGAAAAUUACCUUAGGGAUAACAGCGUAAUUUCAUUUGAAGAUUGCGACCUCGAUGUUGGACUAGGGACCUUACAAUAAGAAGUUGGAAGGGAUUAUUCUGUUCGAAUACUAGACCCU